rnacentral:tRNA from 1 species
GUUUUAAUAGUUUAAAAAAAACCUUGAUUUUGUAAUUCAAUAAUAAGAAAUUUCUUUUAAAACU